rnacentral:rRNA from 1 species
GACGAACGCUGGCGGCGUGCUUAGCACAUGCAAGUCGAGCGGUAAGGCCCUUUCGGGGGUACGACGAGCGGCGAACGGGUGAGUAACACGUGGGUGACCUGCCCUCAGCUCUGGGAUAAGCCUGGGAAACUGGGUCGUAAUACCGGAUAUGACUCCAUGACGCAUGUUGUGGGGUGGAAAGCCUUGUGCGGCUGAGGAUGGGCCCGCGGCCUAUCAGCUUGUUGGUGGGGUGGAUGGCCUACCAAGGCGACGACGGGUAGCCGGCCUGAGAGGGCGACCGGCCACACUGGGACUGAGACACGGCCCAGACUCCUACGGGAGGGCAGCAGUGGGGAAUCUUGCGCAAUGGGCGAAAGCCUGACGCAGCGACGCCGCGUGAGGGAUGACGGCCU